rnacentral:rRNA from 1 species
CACGUAGGGGGCAAGCGUUGUCCGGAUUUAUUGGGCGUAAAGAGCUCGUAGGCGGCUUAGUAAGUCGGGUGUGAAACCUCCAGGCUCAACCUGGAGACGCCACCCGAUACUGCUGUGGCUAGAGUCCGGUAGGGGAGCGUGGAAUUCCUGGUGUAGCGGUGAAAUGCGCAGAUAUCAGGAGGAACACCAGCGGCGAAGGCGGCGCUCGUGGGCCGGUACUGACGCUGAGGAGCGAAAGCGUGGGGAGCAAACAGG